GACUGACUGAGCCAGCCAGGUGCCCCUGAAAUAUGAUUUUCAUUGCCCUGUAGUAUUCUGUGGUAUGAAUCUGUCAUUGUAUCCUUGCCCAAUCCCUUAUGUUAUUUUAUACGUACUUUAUCACUCAAACUGAUGGUGGUUUUCUCAGGAUAAAGCCCAGCAAUGAUAUUGCUGCAUCAAAGAGCACACUCAUCCUCCAGACCUUAUUAUUACCCAAUCUCCUCCGGGAAGGCUGGUCCCAAAGCACACGACCUCCAUCUCUGUGUGAGAAUCCUCACUGGGGCAUUAUCAUUUCUUUGAAUCAUUGCGAAUUCUAUGGCAGUGAAAGAUAGAUUUGUAUGUUCAUUCUAGUUUAUACUUCCAAAUAAGAGUAGGGGUGAAUACCUCUUCACAUCGCAUCUCCUUUCCUGAUUUAUCACAGGAAUCAUAAUAUAAGAAAUGCCUGUUUCUUGGAGUAAAUGCAUUUCCCAGCCCAAGGUACUAUAUUAAGGUAUUACAGAUAAUAAAAGUAACAGCGCCUUGUUAUAAAUUCUGGGUGAAGGCCAAUGGUCUCUCGGUGUUUCUUCUUAAUUGAUAAAAUUCAGUUGUCCGUCUUUUAGCUCAGAAUCUUAAAAUGCUUUCCAGAUCCCAGGUAAACUUGUUAAAACACUUUUUAGGUACUUGUUUGUAGGAGUUCUAAUCUGCCUCAGCAACUCCUGACCCUCCAGCCUCACCUCCAGUCUGGGAGUGAUGAGAGCAAACCAGUCUGAACUCAGGUUGACUGGGGAGUGUGACACCCUCUUCCCCGAUCCUUUCCCUUUGCCACAAGCUCUGACUAAAGCAUGCCUGAGACUGUCAACUGAACAAAAUGUGCCCUCGAGAAAAAGAACACACUAGCAAAAUGCAGUACUUCCAUCACGUGCAGAAAACUGGAAUCCGCUUCAGACCGUGCCCGCGGCGGCGGCGGUCAGGCCUCCCGCGGAUCCGGCUGAUAGCACACUUCCUGCUUCAGGGACUGUGUUCUUUUGUGUGGCUUCUCUGAGCCCACCGCCUGGAUAAAUCUGCUGCUUUCUACCCAGAUGCUGUUGCUUCACUUGGAAACAAUUAUCUCCUUCUCCACAUGCACCCUGUUCCCUUCACCCACAUCCCUUAUCAUGCCAUGAUAAUCACACACUGAAGCAGAUGUAAAAGGCACAAAUGGAGCAUUUGCUUGCCAACUCGAGAGCCUUGUGUCAUUGCACACAGAGAAGAAAGUGAGGAGGAGCCCUAUCUGCCAUCGCAGGACUCACACUGGAACAUGUACCCAUUAAAGAACAAUUGAGUGGA